AUAAGACAGAAUGUUAUGCACAUCCUACUGAGGCAAAGCAGAGUGGUUGCUGAUCUCUUCGAGAAGUAGUUACAAACGCUGGACACUUUCAAAGGAAAGAGAAAAAGAUAAGUAUACUGACAUGUUUCUGUCAUAUUACAUUCGAAGUCAAUAUGUGCCAAACUGUUCAAUUUCGUUAGUUUUGAACCAAAAAUUCUGAUGUUUUUCCUAGAUGGUACAGUUUUCAUAACAGCAGACACUGCUAUUCCACAUACAUUUCAGCUUUCCUUUGAAGAUUAUGUGAGGAGGAAAGAAUGGAGCACUUGGUAGAAGACCAGCGAGCAAGGUGGAAAGAACACUGAGUUUGGGGUUAAAGGACAGGCCUAUCUUUGAGCUCCAGCUCUGUCACAUCUAACAGGGGACUCGCUAGAAUGAAAGCAGACAGUGGGAUUGAAGCCAUUCACAGCUGAAAAUUUUUUAAAAAUGAUAAAAGACGCAUUUCGGAACACCAAGUCUGUGAUUCAUGUCUGUUGCUUCUUUUAAGACAUAACCCACAAUUCACCUUUGAAAGAAAUCUUUCCUUCAAUCUCC